UAUGUGACUGCAGAGAGGAGGACAGAGGACAGUGGACACACACUUUAACAUGAUGGACUAUAGGACAGGACUGCUGCUUCUAACUGUCUGCUGGGCAGGUGUUGAUGCUCAGACUCUGACUGAAUCUGAACCAGUGGUUAAAAGUCCUGGAGGAUCCCACAGACUGACCUGUACAGCCUCUGGGCUUACAAUCAGUGGCUCCUGGAUGAACUGGGUCAGACAGGCUCCUGGAAAAGGACUGGAGUGGAUCGCUUAUAUCAACAGCGAUGGUGGCACCACCCACUACCCUGAGUCAGUGAAAGGCCGGUUCACCAUCUCCAGAGACAACAGCAGACAGCAGGUGUAUCUGCAGAUGAACAGUCUGAAGACUGAGGACUCUGCAGUGUAUUACUGUGCCAGAGAUACUGGGGGGGCGUGACGCUGCUUUUGAUUACUGGGGGAAAGGCACAAUGGUCACAGUAACAUCAG